GGGUCAGUAGGUUGGUCGUGCCACCGGUACGUACUGGUCUCACUGAUUCCUCAUUCCUGAAGAACCGUAAUGCCAUUAAUUUGGUGUUGCGGGGAAACAGGACUGUUACUUUGAAAAAAUUAGAGUGUUUAAAGCAAGCUAACGCUUGAAUACAUUAGCAUGGAAUAAUGAAAUAGGACGAUCGAUCCCAUUUUGUUGGUUUCUAUGAUUGACGUA
rnacentral:rRNA from 1 species